CAAACUCAAAUAACUUUUCCCUAUUGAAGCAGGUUGCGCACAUAGAGCCAGCGGGGCGUUUGGAGUCCAGCGGUCAGGACAGGCUCACAGCACUGCAAGCAGUGACGAACUUCGGUGCUCCGGCUGAAGUCUUCGACUCGGAAGGUGAGUGUCUGGGACCACAGGUUGCUGGAAUCUGUCCACAGCAGGCAGGUAGACUUGCUGCCAUGUUAACACUAAUUAACCUAACGCUUGUGGCCGACCUGGUUCAGAGGACAGUAACACAUAGCUGUGCCGUUGGCCUCGACUGGAGUAGAAGCUCAAACACAGGCUGCCUUGGUUUUCUUCAGUGUCUUUUUCUUACCACACAGAGGCUGAGGUGUUCCAGAGGAAGCUUGAUGAAACGACAAGAUUGCUCAGGGAGCUCCAGGAGGCACAGAACGAGCGGCUGAGCACUAGGCCUCCUCCCAAUAUGAUCUGUCUCUUGGGUCCUUCUUACAGAGAAAUGUACCUUGGUAUGCUUGUCCCAGUGAUGGGAGGUGGAGCAGGGCUGGGUGCAUGGAAGAAAGACUUCAGGAAGUAGCAGCACUGUUAAGUAAGGGUAGUGAAUACCACACCACGAAUAUAGUUUUUCUGCAUUUAUACAUUUUCAGUUCUUUAGGAUUUUUCUUGUUUUAAUUAUCAAGGGCUAGGUAGAUGGUUCAGUAAGUAAAGUGUUUGCCAUGAACAUAUAAGAGCCUGAGUUCAGAUCCCCGUGUGUGAAAGCACCGUGGCAUGCAUCUCUAACCUCAGUGAGAGGGUAGGAAUGGCAGAUCCCUGGAGCCCACGGCCCAGGCAGGCUAAGUCAGUGGGCGACCCUGCCUCACAAAAUAAGGUGGAAACUAACCAAGAAGAUAACUCACAUUGACUUUUAGCGUCUAUAUGCAUAUGCAAGUGCAUGUGCUCAUAAAUAUACCACAGAUGCACCACAUACAUGCACACAUCUAGGUGUCAUACAGCCCUUAUGGGGCUGAGGCAGGAGGAGUGCUGUGAAUUCACAGCCAUUCAGAGCUAAGUAGCAAGACUCUUUAAGAGAAAAAUAUUGCUGGAUGGUGGUAGCACACCUUUGAUCCCCACGCUUCAGGAGCAGAGGCGGAGGCAGGUAGAUCUCCGAGUUCAAUGACAGCCAGGGUUACACCUGUCUUGAAAAAACCCUGUCUUGAAAAAAACCAAAAGGAAGAAAAGGGGGAAAAAAAUGACUACAGGAACCACUUCAGUACCUUGAGCUUUUCCCCCUGUUUCUCAUAGCUGAACAAGUGACCAAUAACCUUAAAGAACUCACACAGCAAGUGACUCCCGGCGAUGUUGUAAGCAUACACGGAGUCCGAAAAGCAAUGGGGAUUUCUGUUCCUUCCCCCAUCAUGGGACACAGCCUCGUAGAUUUGACAGAAGGUAGGUGCCCUAUUUCUGUGGGUGAGAGACUUGCGAAUAAAAGGGAAAUCAACCCUUUUCCUUAAGAUAACAUUG
rnacentral:lncRNA from 1 species